rnacentral:rRNA from 1 species
GACGAACGCUGGCGGCGUGCUUAACACAUGCAAGUCGAACGGAAAGGCCCUGCUUUUGUGGGGUGCUCGAGUGGCGAACGGGUGAGUAACACGUGAGUAACCUGCCCUUGACUUUGGGAUAACUUCAGGAAACUGGGGCUAAUACCGGAUAGGAGCUCCUGCUGCAUGGUGGGGGUUGGAAAGUUUCGGCGGUUGGGGAUGGACUCGCGGCUUAUCAGCUUGUUGGUGGGGUAGUGGCUUACCAAGGCUUUGACGGGUAGCCGGCCUGGGAGGGGGACCGGCCACAUUGGGACUGAGAUACGGCGCAGACGCCUACGGGAGGCAGCAGUGGGGAAUAUUGCACAAUGGGCGGAAGUCUGAUGCAGCAACGCCGCGUGCGGGAUAACGUCCUUCGGGUUGUAAACCGCUGUCGCCUGUGACGAAGCGUGCGUGACGGUAAUGGGUAAAGAAGCAACGGCUAACUACGUG